rnacentral:rRNA from 1 species
AACGAACGCUGGCGGCAUGCCUAAUACAUGCAAGUCGAACGAGAUUUUCGGAUCUAGUGGCGCACGGGUGCGUAACGCGUGGGAAUCUGCCCUUGGGUUCGGAACAACGUCGGGAAACUGACGCUAAUACCGGAUGAUGACGUAAGUCCAAAGAUUUAUCGCCCAAGGAUGAGCCCGCGUAGGAUUAGCUAGUUGGUAAGGUAAGGGCUUACCAAGGCGACGAUCCUUAGCUGGUCUGAGAGGAUGAUCAGCCACACUGGGACUGAGACACGGCCCAGACUCCUACGGGAGGCAGCAGUAGGGAAUAUUGGACAAUGGGCGCAAGCCUGAUCCAGCAAUGCCGCGUGAGUGAUGAAGGCCUUAGGGUUGUAAAGCUCUUUUACCCGGGAUGAUAAUGACAGUACCGGGAGAAUAAGCCCCGGCUAACUCCGUGCCAGCAGCCGCGGUAA